rnacentral:tRNA from 1 species
GCCUGGCUGGUUCAGUCGGUUAAACAUCUGACUUCAGCUCAGGUCAUGAUCUCAUGGUUUGUGGGUUCAAUCCCCAUGUCAGGCU